rnacentral:snRNA from 1 species
GUGUUCACUUCGGCAGCACAUAUGCUAAAAUUGGAACGAUACAGAGAAGAUUAGCAUGAUCCCUGAGAAAGGAUGGCAUACAAAUUUGUGAAGCGUUCCAUAUUUUU